rnacentral:rRNA from 1 species
GACGAACCGUGCGAACGUUGUUCGGAAUCACUGGGCUUAAAGGGCGCGUAGGCGGGCCGCCAAGUCUGGAGUGAAAGCCCACGGCUCAACCGUGGAAGCGCUUCGGAUACUGGCGGCCUCGAGGGGUGCAGGGGCGUGCGGAACUUCCGGUGGAGCGGUGAAAUGCGUAGAUAUCGGAAGGAACACCGGUGGCGAAAGCGGCGCGCUGGACGACCUACUGACGCUGAGGCGCGAAAGCCCAGGGGAGCAAACGGG